AUAUAUAUAUAUAUAUAUAUAUAUAUAUAUAUAUAGUGCCAUAUUUACAUUACUUUACUUUGUAUUAUGUCUAUAAUUAUUUUAUUAUUAAAAUUAAUGUGGUCUACUUAGCUUUUGUAAUAUGUUUGUGUUUUCUAUAAUAAGGCUUGUUCAACGAUUCUUCACACAAUUAAUUAAAUCCUCUUUAAAUGUUUCCCGUUGGAUCAGACCAUGGACAAAAAAAAUGAUGAAUUUCAAACAGGAAAUAAUUAGUGGUUAAUAAUAUCUAAAUAUUAAAUCAUACAUGAAAGGUACAUGUAGAAACUAGUAUUGAACGUGCAAAACAACAAUAGAAAAAGAAAUAGAUUGUUUUUUAUUGAUAUGGUUUUUACUUUCUUUUGGUGCUGGAUGGAGCUAAUACUGAAAAUGAUUCCUUAUUUUGAAGUUGAUGGUUAACACUUUUACUUCCAUGUUAGGUUACACUGCCAUGACAUCCAAACUCUAGAUACCAAACCACUUGGGGGCCAAAGUGUGAAACUAACUGUUGCCAAACAGUUAAAAUGUAAUGUAUUGGGAAAUUAUAUGGUUUAUCCAUAGAGUAUUCAAAUAAAAUCAACUUCACCGGUCUGUUAUCUGUUGUGUAAUGUUAUGAUUUUACUUUAAAAAUAAUUUUAUUAUUGCUUCAUGUAUUAGUUUUAUUACGUGGUGCUUACGUUAUUAGUUAUUUCUGUAUAUCAGGCUUGGAUUGAACAAGGUACAAUCUUUAAAGGCUCAGCUAAGAGAUAUAUGUGUGCUGCUGUUCACAUAUUCUAAAACAACAGUUCCAAUCCAAGGUAGUAGUAUUUCAUUAAUUUUUAAUUGGAUUUAUAACUUUAUGAAGGGCGGAUCAGAUACAAAUAAAACUUUCCAACUAUAAAAACUAUUCCAACCUUGUCACUGUUUUAAGUGUUAGAAUGCAGACAACUAAUCUGUAAUCUGAUCUGUAUCUCAGAUGUUAGAGUACAUGAAAUAAACUUUGAUCGAAAGAGUAAAACAAUAAACUCAUAUCCAGAAUUAGUUAUUAACUAGACAUAAUCACAACCAGAUAAUAGAUUGAUUUCCAUUACUGUAAGAAGUCUAUGUGUAGAUAUACGCCAUGAGAUGGCAGUUGAGGUUUUUUCUGAGCGGCUGGUCUUGUUAUCCCCACUGGUCUGUGCAAAGAUCUUAUCAAACCGAAUGCAUGGAAGAGUCAGUAUAGUACAAAGCUCCAUAACUGUUAUGGAUUCACAGGAUUAUCAAUUUCAAUUUAAUUUAUUAAAAAAAGUACAAAAUGACAUCAAUAUUGUUAAUACAUAUUUUUAUAUUAUAGUAACAAUAAUUUUCAUUUCUAGUCAAAUGCACAUAAUAUGAGUUUUUUUUACUAUUUGUGUUAUUUCUAAACAGUUUGAACUUGCACUAUGUCUAACUCAGACACUAAGUCCAGUACCUUAGUCUGUGCACUCACCGGCUCUCACCAAGUUAUGUUGGUUUUGUGUGUGUAUUACCAGAAUCCUACCUAAAUACUUCCUUAAAAAUUGAUGACACUGACUGAGGUGCAUUUAUCCAUCAAGUCAUUCAUCUGUUAUGUAUGUCAUCCAUUUGAGUAGCAUCCCAUGAUAAUAGUUACUGCCACUUUUUAUCUCAUUUGAUUUAUAAUAUAUUGUGUUAUUUUUAUUGUGCAGUAUUUAUUAUUUAUGGGUUUUUUUGUUAUCGUUGGCUCCCUAACUGUCCGGUUUUAAUCCAGUUGGCAACUAAAGACAGGCGCAGAGUCCUUCAUUUUUUUAUUGCGCUUAGAUUAAGGACGGGUUGUGCCUGUUACAAAAGGAACUGGAAGUGUCAGAGGUAAGUUUUUUGUUGUACGAACGUAUGGAAGAGCUGUAACAAAUUAUGUAAUUAGUGAAAUUAAUGGUGAAAGUCACUUGAAAAUGAGGUUUUUAUUUAGAAUAAUAGAAGUUUCAUAUUAUUUAUAUAUAAUGUUAUACACUUAAGUUUUGUGCAAAGAUCACCUAUUUUCUGUUUAAACCUUGGAACUCAUCAGUCCUGAAUAGGUUAAAGAAUUUUUCAUUCACCUCUGUUGUCAUUGCCAAUAAAACUGGGUGAAAUAUAUUGAAAUAGUAGGACCGGUUUCAUUUGAUGGCAGGAACACAAGUAGCCAACCAGUUCUCUAACAUCUCCAUAUAUUACAGAUUACACAGGAGUUCAUGCUAUUCAAUUAUGUGUCCAAUGAAAGUAUUUUGUUUAUAUUUGAUCCACCCUUCGUAGUAAUUUAUAGUGAUUUAAAAUAAUUAAUGACCAAAAGUUGACUCUUAGAUUUUUAAAUAUUUUAAUUGUAGAGGUAUUAAAUUGAUAAUGACUGUAUCAAAUAACAUAUCAAAGUUAAAAGGCUAUCUAAGACUGUAUAUUUGUAAUGAGUAUUUUUCAUUACUCAAAUUUAUUUUUAAUACCUAAACUGCUUAUUUUCUAACAAUUUAUAUUAAUUUUAAAAUGUUUGGUUAUAUUGAAAAUACUUGUUUUGAUUUUUUUGUUAAAACUUAAAAUAUCUUGGAAGUUACAUGUGUAGCACCAAAAACAAACAAUCUGACAAUUAUAGUGAUAUGUGUUUUAAGAAGAGAAACAAUUAUAUUAUUUUUAAUUAAUAAAUCUCUAAACAAUUUGUAAUAGUGUACGUACUUAGCAAUAGAUUACAAUUCUUUUCAGAAUGUUACAUUGUAUAGUUAUCAGAUCAUUUUUUAGAGAGCAAACCAUUAAAAUUUGUAUAAUUUUUUAUCUGACUAAAAAUUGAAGUAAGUACAAUUUACUCUCUAUGUACUACAACAUUGUUCAAUACUUAGUAUCGCCCACAACAUCCUUAACCUGGCUUGAAAUAUUACAUGUAAUCUAAAUUAUAAGCAAAGCCAUUUUUAAUCAGCCACACAGCAUGUUAUUAUGAUGUUAUCACUCUACAAAUCGUGUUUUAAAAAGCUCCAAGCAAAAUUUACCAACAAUGUUUUUGUGUUUAUACCAAUAACCAGGAAGUGCUGGUUUCAAGUAAAUUAAUACUGAAUUAAGCAACUGGUGUUUGAAUUCGUAACUACUAGUAUUACAGGAACCAACUGUUUUCCUAAUCCAAAUCAGAGAAAUAACAUCUUUGGUACUCACAACUACUAUCAAAAAUAUUUACUUUCCAUACUUUGUCAUGAAAAAAUUGUUCCAUAUUUUAUAAAGUAAAUUGAAUUAUAGUGUCAAACAUGCAGGGCCUGUUUGUAAAUUAAAAUAACACUGACAUGUAGACCCAGAUCAAGAUCAAUAACCAUACUGCUAAUUAAAUCAAAAUUUUUCAAAUUUAUUUUUAAAUUGUUGACUAUUCCAGCUUUUAUUUCUUUAUUAUGAGUUAGAAUAAUUAUAAGGUUGCAUUAUCGUAACCACGUAAAUUAUUUUAAAAUAAUUAUUCUAAAAAUAAAAAAACUUAAUUUCUUAAAUUUGGACUAAUUUCCAAAUUAAUGUUGAUACAGUUGUCAUUGUUUCGAUAUCAACAAGUGUAUUAAUGUGUGUUGUAUGUAAAUUAUCUUAGAAUAAGGAAAACUUUCACUCGUAUUUAUUUAGCAAUAAACUUAUUGGAUUCAUCUAGAAUGUAUAAAGUUAUAAGUAUGAAUCUUUCAAUGAUUUUUGAGGAUGUGUAUAAAGGUUAAUUAGCGGAGUGCCUACACCAAUGUGCCAGUUAUGUUUCGUGGUAGAGUAGGGAAACUAUGUUAAUUUGUAAUGUUAAUGCUAACAUUCCUGUUGCCUUUGGUGGAUGAAUUGUGAUGAAUGAGACAUAAAUGUAAGUGGAAUAGUAAUGAUCUUGUAAACUCUCAUUAAUUCUAUCAAUCUAAUAUGUUGUAAAACUUUAAUCCCUGGAAUUAAAAAUUAAUAUAAUAGCCAUCCAAGCUUUCAGGGUAGAGACAUGUUCUGGCAAUGUUAUGAAGCAGGCUGAUUUAUACCUAUAUUUUAACUACUUCAACUAUAGGCCCAAAAUUUGUGAAAUCUAUUACAAAAGUAUGUAAUUGAGAUCUUUAAUAUUCAAAGCUUCACUUUUUAGUUUCUGCCUUGCUAAUCCCCAUAUGAAAUUAAUGAUUUUUGUGCUCUUUUUUUAUAAUUGGAGGUCAAAGAGUAUUAUGUAAAAUAACAAAAUCAGGAUUGUUACUGCUUAUACAUGAGGAUUGCAUUUUGUAUAAUGAAUUUAGUAGAUGUAAUCGUAAUUAUUCUUUUUAAUAAUUGAGUAUGAAAAACUGAUUAAUUUUUCAUACUCAAUCAAGAAGAAAGAUACAUAAAAAUUCUACACUUCAAACAGCAAAAACUGUUACACGACUCUAUGGAUUGUAGUUCAUGGUAGUAUUCCUAUUCAGUGUUAAUAAGUCAAUACACCAUAAUUUGUGAAUAUAACUGAUUGUGAGAGUACAGUCAGUGACAAUAUUUUGACACUGAUGCUUCUACGGGUGAUUCAGUCAGAGAUUACAGUUUAAAAAUUAAAGAUACACAUUUUAGUUUAUUUAAUUGAUAUGUUUUUAUUUAAACAUAAUGUGAGAAAUCAACAUUAAACAUGAAAAAUUGUAUCCGUCAAAUGACCGCCACAUGCAUUCAGCCCUUUUUAUCCAUCAUUUUCUCAUUCAAUUUUAGAAUUUUAUGGAUAACUCUGCAAAUCUUAACCAUCAGCUCCAAAUUGAAGUUGAGUUUUUUUGGGUAAACCUUCUGCUUCAAUUACCCCCAAGUGAAAUAAUCCAGUGGUGUUAGGAUUCUUCCAACUGUUUCCAAAAAUAAUCGCUUGUCAUCUUUCAAUUGACUGUAACUGCAUUACCAUGGCCAUUUUCAAAAAAGUAAGAGCUAAUCAUGCUGCCAGCGUAAAAUCCACUCUAAACCAUUACCUUUCUUAGAGGCAUUUGUUUCAUAUGAAUAGCAUGAGGAUUUUCAAUUUUCGAGAUGCAGAAGUUUUACUUAUUUACUUAACCAUUGAGAUGAAAAAGAGUUCCGUCAUGAAAAGAUGAUUCUUUUCAAUAAAUUGUCAUUCUGAUUAUUCUCCAACACCCAGUUAACAAAUUCACGCCUCUGCUGAUCAUUUCCCAGUUACAAUUCUUGAGUCAAUUUGAUCUUGCAUGCAUGUAAAUGCAGAUCUUAAGUCAAAAUGUGAUGUCUCAAAAUUAGGCCUUAAGAAUGACCUAAUUCCUUGAAACAAUGAAUUGAAGUUCAUGAAUUUUUUCAAGCUUUUGCAUGUUGUGGCGAUAUUUGUUACUCAUUGGCCACUUUGAGGGGGUCUUUGAACAUCUAACACUGAAUCCGUUACAUGAAAUUUAUCAAUCAGUUUUUAUAUUUGCUGCAUGUGGGUCUGCUCACUGCUCUAUAACAUCACAACCAUUUCGUUAAUUAUUUUGGAAACUGCAAUCAGACAUUUUUCUUGGUGGAUUACCAAAAAAUAAUUUUGUAGUGAUUGAAUUAUGUUAGUAAAAUUUUCUCCUCUUAUGAACAUUUUUUUAACAAUUAAAACAUGAUCUUCGAUUGAAUAAUGCUCCAUAACAACAAAUGUCAUCAAAUACAAAAUCACAAGGAAAUGUAAUGGCGUCAACAUACUUUAAUUAAGUUGGUCCACAUAAGAUAACAGUGCUGCCAACUUAAAAUUGUUACCUCUAACUGAAUCAUCCAAUCUGUAUACUAAUCUGGGUAAUUGUUAAUAGUACCCAACACUAGUAUGUUAUUGUAACCCUUAAGCUAUUUUACUUUUUAGAUUAUGUUCUUUGUUAUUAUAUAUAACUUUGUAAUAUAUUUUGUCAUACAUUUACGAUCAAACAAGGAAAUGUUUUAAAAGUGGGAAUAUAAUGUUUUUAACUGUGUUUAACGAACAAAAUUCGAGAAAGUGUUAGUACAGCAGGUUGUUAUGCAAGUUCUGUUGUUUCUUUAUUUUUCUUAUAGUUUGAAUUAUGAAGAGUUUUAGUUUUAAAGAAAUUUAAAUUUCUAUAGCAAUAAAUUCAAUAUAUCAUACUGAAAACUCCAAUUAAAUGUAUUAUAAUUACGUACUUUUUGUAAAAAAGUUUUUUUCACAGUGCAGCUUUUAUGAGUGUGAUUUUAAAAAUCUGUACAUACAACGUGUACAACAACUGGUAUAUGGGUUCAAUGAUAGAGAUUGAAAUGUCUCACUCCUCUUUACUAACUGUGAUCAAAUAUUCUAUUAAGUAUGUUGACUUGCAGCUAGUCUCUUUGUUAAACAGUUUGAUAUUUAAGAAAUAAAUUUGUUAUCAUUCCAUUUGUAUGAUAUUUUAUACGAAAUAAAUUAGUUUAAAUUUG